GAUGAACGCUGGCGGCGUGCCUAAUACAUGCAAGUCGAGCGAACGGACGAGAAGCUUGCUUCUCUGAUGUUAGCGGCGGACGGGUGAGUAACACGUGGAUAACCUACCUAUAAGACUGGGAUAACUUCGGGAAACCGGAGCUAAUACCGGAUAAUAUUUUGAACCGCAUGGUUCAAAAGUGAAAGACGGUCUUGCUGUCACUUAUAGAUGGAUCCGCGCUGCAUUAGCUAGUUGGUAAGGUAACGGCUUACCAAGGCAACGAUGCAUAGCCGACCUGAGAGGGUGAUCGGCCACACUGGAACUGAGACACGGUCCAGACUCCUACGGGAGGCAGCAGUAGGGAAUCUUCCGCAAUGGGCGAAAGCCUGACGGAGCAACGCCGCGUGAGUGAUGAAGGUCUUCGGAUCGUAAAACUCUGUUAUUAGGGAAGAACAUAUGUGUAAGUAACUGUGCACAUCUUGACGGUACCUAAUCAGAAAGCCACGGCUAACUACGUGCCAGCAGCCGCGGUAAUACGUAGGUGGCAAGCGUUAUCCGGAAUUAUUGGGCGUAAAGCGCGCGUAGGCGGUUUUUUAAGUCUGAUGUGAAAGCCCACGGCUCAACCGUGGAGGGUCAUUGGAAACUGGAAAACUUGAGUGCAGAAGAGGAAAGUGGAAUUCCAUGUGUAGCGGUGAAAUGCGCAGAGAUAUGGAGGAACACCAGUGGCGAAGGCGACUUUCUGGUCUGUAACUGACGCUGAUGUGCGAAAGCGUGGGGAUCAAACAGGAUUAGAUACCCUGGUAGUCCACGCCGUAAACGAUGAGUGCUAAGUGUUAGGGGGUUUCCGCCCCUUAGUGCUGCAGCUAACGCAUUAAGCACUCCGCCUGGGGAGUACGACCGCAAGGUUGAAACUCAAAGGAAUUGACGGGGACCCGCACAAGCGGUGGAGCAUGUGGUUUAAUUCGAAGCAGCGCGAAGAACCUUACCAAAUCUUGACAUCCUUUGACAACUCUAGAGAUAGAGCUUUCCCCUUCGGGGGACAAAGUGACAGGUGGUGCAUGGUUGUCGUCAGCUCGUGUCGUGAGAUGUUGGGUUAAGUCCCGCAACGAGCGCAACCCUUAAGCUUAGUUGCCAUCAUUAAGUUGGGCACUCUAAGUUGACUGCCGGUGACAAACCGGAGGAAGGUGGGGAUGACGUCAAAUCAUCAUGCCCCUUAUGAUUUGGGCUACACACGUGCUACAAUGGACAAUACAAAGGGCAGCGAAACCGCGAGGUCAAGCAAAUCCCAUAAAGUUGUUCUCAGUUCGGAUUGUAGUCUGCAACUCGACUACAUGAAGCUGGAAUCGCUAGUAAUCGUAGACCAGCAUGCUACGGUGAAUACGUUCCCGGGUCU
rnacentral:rRNA from 1 species